CUGUGACGUUAGCAACAGAAGAAGCACCGGCUAACUCCGUGCCAGCAGCCGCGGUAAUACGGAGGGUGCGAGCGUUAAUCGGAAUUACUGGGCGUAAAGCGUGCGUAGGCGGUUUGUUAAGCAAGAUGUGAAAGCCCAGGGCUCAACCUUGGAACUGCAUUUUGAACUGGCAAACUAGAGUACUGUAGAGGGUGGUGGAAUUUCCAGUGUAGCGGUGAAAUGCGUAGAGAUUGGAAGGAACAUCAGUGGCGAAGGCGGCCACCUGGACAGAUACUGACGCUGAGGCACGAAAGCGUGGGGAGCAAACAGGAUUAGAUACCCUGGUAGUCCACGCCGUAAACGAUGUCAACUAGCUGUCUGUGGACUUGAUCCGUGGGUAGCGGAGCUAACGCAUUAAGUUGACCGCCUGGGGAGUACGGCCGCAAGGUUAAAACUCAAAUGAAUUGACGGGGGCCCGCACAAGCGGUGGAGCAUGUGGUUUAAUUCGAUGCAACGCGAAGAACCUUACCAUCCCUUGACAUCCACAGAAGAGACUAGAGAUAGACUUGUGCCUUCGGGAACUGUGAGACAGGUGCUGCAUGGCUGUCGUCAGCUCGUGUUGUGAAAUGUUGGGUUAAGUCCCGCAACGAGCGCAACCCCUAUCCUUAUUUGCCAGCGCGUUAUGGCGGGAACUCUAAGGAGACUGCCGGUGAUAAACCGGAGGAAGGUGGGGACGACGUCAAGUCAUCAUGGCCCUUACGGGAUGGGCUACACACGUGCUACAAUGGCAAGUACAGAGGGCAGCAAUACCGCGAGGUGGAGCGAAUCCCACAAAGCUUGUCGUAGUCCGGAUUGGAGUCUGCAACUCGACUCCAUGAAGUCGGAAUCGCUAGUAAUCGUAGAUCAGAAUGCUACGGUGAAUACGUUCCCGGGCCUUGUACACACCGCCCGUCACACCAUGGGAGUGGGAUGCAAAAGAAGUGGCUAGUUUAACCUUCGGGAGGACGGUCACCACUUUGUGUUUCAUGACUGGGGUGAAGUCGUAACAAGGUAACCCUAGGGGAACCUGGGGUUGGAUCACCUCCUUAUCU
rnacentral:rRNA from 1 species